UACGGGGGGGGGCAAGCGUUGUUCGGAAUUACUGGGCGUAAAGGGCUCGUAGGCGGCCAACUAAGUCAGACGUGAAAUCCCUCGGCUUAACCGGGGGAACUGCGUCUGAUACUGGAUGGCUUGAGAUUGGGAGAGGGAUGCGGAAUUCCAGGUGUAGCGGUGAAAUGCGUAGAUAUCUGGAGGAACACCGGUGGCGAAGGCGGCAUCCUGGACCAACACUGACGCUGAGGAGCGAAAGCCAGGGGAGCAAACAGG
rnacentral:rRNA from 1 species